rnacentral:rRNA from 1 species
AGAGAAUAGAUACCCCGGUAGUCCACGCUGUAAACGAUGAGGACUGGAUGUUGGGAGGGGAACCUUCCAGUAUCGAAAGCUAAACGCGAUAAGUCUUCCACCUGGGAAGUACGGCCGCAAGGUUGAAACUCAAAUGAAUUGACGGGGGCCCGGCACAAGCGGUGGAGCAUGUGGUUUAAAUUCGAUGCAACGCGAAGAACCUUACCUGCCCUUGACAUCCUGCGAACCCGGGAGAGACCCUGGGGUGCCGAAAGGAACGCAGAGACAGGUGCUGCAUGGCUGUCGUCAGCUCGUGUUGUGAGAUGUUGGGUUAAGUCCCGUAACGAGCGCAACCCUUGCCCCUAGUUGCCAGCAUUCAGUUGGGGUACUCUAGGGGGACUGCCGGUGAGGAACCGGAGGAAGGCGGGGACGACGUCGAGUCAUCAUGGCCUUUAUGGGCGAGGGCCACACACGUGCUACAAUGGGGCGUACAGAGGGUCGCGAACCCGCGAGGGGGAGCCAAUCCCGCAAAGCGCCUCGUAGUCCGGAUUGGAGUCUGC